UACGUAGGCAGCAAGCGUUGUUCGGAGUUACUGGGCGUAAAGAGUGCGUAGGCGGUCCUUUAAGUUUGGUGUGAAAUCUCCCGGCUCAACUGGGAGGGUGCGCCGAAAACUGGAGGGCUUGAGUGUGGGAGAGGCAAGCGGAAUUCCUGGUGUAGCCGGUGAAAUGCGUAGAUAUCAGGAGGAACACCUGUGGCGAAGGCGGCCGACUGGGCCGACCCUGACGCUGAGGCGCGAAGGCGUGGGGAGCGAACGGG
rnacentral:rRNA from 1 species